CGUAGGGUCCGAGCGUUGUCCGGAAUUAUUGGGCGUAAAGGGCUCGUAGGCGGUUUGUCACGUCGGGAGUGAAAUCUUACAGCUUAACUGUGAACUUGCUUUCGAUACGGGCAGACUUGAGGCAUUCAGGGGAGAACGGAAUUCCUGGUGUAGCGGUGAAAUGCGCAGAUAUCAGGAGGAACACCGGUGGCGAAGGCGGUUCUCUGGGAAUGUACUGACGCUGAGGAGCGAAAGUGUGGGGAGCGAACAGGAUU
rnacentral:rRNA from 1 species